AAUCAACGCUGGCGGCGUGCCUCAGACAUGCAAGUCGAACGCGAAAGUUUCCUUCGGGGAACAAGUAGAGUGGCGCACGGGUGAGUAACACGUAGGUAAUCUACCUUUGGAUGGGGAAUAACAACCGGAAACGGUUGCUAAUACCGCAUAAUGCAGCGGCACCUAAUGGUGACAGUUGUUAAAGCGGGGGAUCGAAAGACCUCGCGUCUGAAGAGGAGCCUGCGGCGGAUUAGCUAGNGGUAAGGUAAUGGCUUACCAAGGCGACGAUCCGUAACCGGCCUGAGAGGGCGGUCGGGUCACACUGACACUGACAUACGGGUCAGACUCCUACGGGAGGCAGCAGUCGGGAAUUUUGGGCAAUGGGCGAAAGCCUGACCCAGCAACGCCGCGUGAAGGAUGAAAUCCCUCGGGAUGUAAACUUCGCAAGAAACGGGAAGAAUAAGCGAGAGUUAAUAUCUUUCGUGAU
rnacentral:rRNA from 1 species